GCCAUCUGUAGCAUCGAGUGCAGUGAACACAGGGAUUGUGGGAGAGGAAAACAGUGCAUCCAGGAUGGCUGUUGGUGAAUCUGCUCCCCGCUGAUGAGUGUAGCCAUCUGUAGCAUCGAGUGCCGUGAAGACAGGGAUUGUGGGAGAGGAAAAGUGUGCAUCCAGGAUGGCUGUCGGCGAAUCUGCUCCCCGCUGAUGAGUGUAGGCAUCUGUGAGUCCCAGUGCUUCAGAGAUCGGGACUGUGGAGCUGGAAGAGGGUGAGUCAGCAAAGGCUGUAAUCGGGUCUGCUCCCCUGCACCAGAAGCAUCAAUAGGAAUCUGUGUGCAACGCUGCCGAGGAAACUGGGACUGUGGGGCUGGAGAACGAUGUAUCAGGAAGGGAUGCAGUCGCGUCUGCUCUCCAGUCCGCACAGCAGGGGUAGGUAUCUGCCUGGACCAAUGCCAAGGACACCGGGACUGCCCAGCAGGAAGCCGAUGUGAGCAAUGGAUGUGGCCGUGUCUGCUCACCCACCCAGGACCGGCGAGCGGAACAGAGACCUGGAACGUGUCCAAGGGUGCCAGAAGGAACGUUUAGAACUUGUGCUGAAACGUGCGCAGGAGAUGGAUCCUGUCCCCCGGGCCAAAAAUGCUGCAGCAAUGGCUGUGGAAAAUCUUGCCAAGUCCCUGAUCUGGGCCUCACUAUCCAUUUGGAUGAUAAAUGAACCUUGGCCUCCUUCAGUAAUUGUUUCCAAAUGUCAUCUUUAUUCUGAGAUCUGUGCUUUCUUACUGUCUUUUCUGGAACCCCAGGAUCACAGGAUGUGGAUCCAAAAUAACUCAGUUUUUAAGUGUUGAAUUUGGGCAAUUAUUUGAUGAUUCAUAGCAUG
ensembl:lncRNA